GGACAAUUUAAUUAAUGUGCAUACUACGCUGGUGCUCUCAAGGUUCAGUAACCGAAAAGAAUGAACAACUUGCUGGUAUGCUGCUUACCUGUCGACACAUCGAGAACUAAGAAAUUUUUCAUAGCUGAGCUGGCAUGCUUACCCUGGUAGCAUCCCUGUCUUAGAAAUGAAAAGAUAAAACUGCACAGUCUUAUACGAAGUAGUAAUAAUAAUGAAUAAAGUGGCAUCUACAAGUCCAGCAACAUUAUUGAAUUGUUGGGCAAAGCAGGCACCACGAUCUUAAUUUUUCCCAAUUCUGUAUCUCCAUGGCAGAAAAAAAAAACAACACAUAUACCGCAAACCUUCACCAGUUUCUACCCAGGAAACAUACUAAUCAAUCACACCAGCAGAGCGAAUCACAACAUUCAAGCACCACCAUCAUCGCCAUCUAACAGCAGCAAGUCCCUUAACUCAUCAUCUGAUCUACUACUAAGAAGUUAUAUAUUAAGGGUUCAAAGGCUAACUAGCUAGCAGGAACUUUUCCCUAUAGCAAAGUCGCUUGAAUUAUAGAAUAAAAUAUAUAUAGCUCGAUAGUUACUCAUCACAAAUCUGAGAGAAAUAAAUAUUUGAUGAACCGUUUAGGCAAGAAGCCUCU
rnacentral:lncRNA from 1 species